rnacentral:rRNA from 1 species
UACAGAGGUCUCAAGCGUUGUUCGGAUUCAUUGGGCGUAAAGGGUGCGUAGGCGGGCGCGGUAAGUCGGGUGAUGAAACUCUCGGAGCUUAACUCCGAAACUGCAUUCGAUACUGCCGUGCUUGGAGGACUGGAGAAGGUGACUGGAAUUUACGGUGUAGCGGUGAAAUGCGUAGAUAUCGGAUGAAGGAAGACCCAGGUGGCGAAGGCGGGUCUC